rnacentral:sRNA from 1 species
GGCGGGGCGGGCGGGGGCGGGGCGGGCGGGAGUGGAACAUGGGGAGGGGCAGGGGCGAGGAUGGCGAAGGAGCCACGGGUGGGGGGGGUAGGGGAGGAGGCCGGGGGUCGGGGUCGCCUGGGCCCCCGCAUUUCCUGGCCUGCCUUUGCCCCGGCUGCCCUGUGGGCUGGGCCUGGUGUCUGGGGUUGCCAGCAGUCACUGGGACCGAGUCGAAUAGGAGAGAGAACUGAGCUCUCGAGGGCUGAGUCAGGAAACACGUUGGUAAUCAGUACUGGGGGCGGCCGUGCCCAGGGUACUCCUGGCAGGUGACAGGAAGGGACGUGGGUGCGGUGGGACCCAUGCAGGCUGAAAGGCGGGUAAUCUCACUGGGCCAAGGAAGACCAGGAGCUUCCAGAGGGAGCCUGGAGUUGAGGCCUGGGGACUCAGCGGAGUCACUGCGCCGUAUCAACUGGCCGCACCGUGCAGGCGGGCGUGGGGGUCAGCGAGAGCAGAGCGUCCUCCCAGGGGUGUCCCCAGACUGCCCAGAGGGCAGCCGCCUCACAGAUAUCUCCAUUUGCCGGGAGAUGCCCAGCCUGGAGGUGAUCACGCUCAGGUACCUCGCUCCUGCCGUCAUGCUCAGCCUGGGGCCUGGAAGCCAGGGCAGAGCCUCACAUCCCUCCAGUGGGACCCAGCACUGUGACAUAACCUGGAAACCUCCAACACAGACUGAGGGCGGCUUCCAGAAGGGGAGGGGCCAGGACAGCGAGAGCUGGGCCUACCCUGUAGCCCGCCAUGUUCAGCCCUCCUUCCUCAGAGCCUCACCUGGGCCUCCUGAUGGCUCCUGUCCCCUGCGUGCCCUGCUGUACCCCUGCCCACCCUUGGCCUGUGUGCUCCGAUAAGCCAUCGCUCUGUUCACUGGGCCAGUCGGUGGUGGAGCCCUCCUAAGGAUUCCCGGUGGCCCGCCCUGGCCGCCCCCACAGUGGCCACAUCUGCCCUGGGACCCCCAGAGUCCUGGCCUCUUCUGCCCCCCAGUGCCACCACUGCUUACCAGUUUCUCUGCACGCCAUGACCUGUGCCCGUCUUCUGGGGUCACUGCCCUCCCAACAGACGAAGGGAAGCUUGAAUGAACAAAUGUUACUGGACUUUCAGGCAGUUGGGGUGUAUUUGGGGGCUCUGGGGAAGAGAAGAGCUCCCUUUAUCCCUGAAUUCCCUCCUGCCUACUAUGGGACCCAGGGAGGGAGCAGACGCUUAUGGCUCACCAUUGCCCACCAGACGCUGGAUGGGCGCCUUCUGUGGGUUUCCGCAUUUAAAAGCUCACAAGGGCUUAAACCUGUGGGGAAGGCCCACCCCUCUGGCAGCUCAGAAGGCUCCAGGGCUUGCCCUCUGAGAGUGGGUGUUGCAGGCCCCUGGUCCCUGACUGUGACUUACCUUCUCGAUCUCACAGGCAGCCACGGGGUAGGCCAGCCCCUGCCCUCUGACCGUAACGCCCUCCGAGGUUGGCAUUGCCAUGUUGAUGCCCGUGCCCAGCCUGCUGCCCGCCAUGGGUUGAGGCCAGUCCAUCUGGUGUUCAGGCAUCCCCAGUGCGGGCACCAGCCUGUCCUGCCCGAGCCUUGCUGAAUGAAUGAAAUGGGCUUGGAGGCAUGCUCCCGGGUCAAAUCUCAGCCCUCCCAUCUAUUGGCUGGCUAACCUUGGGCGAGGCAUGGCCCUCUCUGUGCCUCAGCUUCCUUUCUGUAACAUGGAGGUAUUACAAGUGCCCACCCCACAGGGAGACGAGGAGGAGAUGGAGCCUGAGUCCAGAGGUUGAGCGGGGGUGCGCGUGCCCGGGCAGAGGUUGAGCAGGGGUGUGCUUGCCCGCCCAGAGGUUGAGCAGGGGUGCGCGUGCCCGCCGCGGGGCUCGUUUCAUUAGUCAGGUGACACAGUGAGGCUGGGAUUUCAGCCCUGCGUCUGAAAGGCUUACCCGACAGACUGGAGCUUGUGGUUCCCACGGUAGCAGGAAGCUUGGGACGGGGCUGUGGAUCCAGCCCUAUCCCUGCCGCUCACUGAGUCACCCAGGGGCCACAGGGCCUCCGAGCAUCAGGCUGCUCGUGUGUGGGGCCAUUUCUGUCACAUCUCAGGAAGGACAGGACCCCGAGGGUGUUGACCGAGCUCAGGUGCGUGGUGCCUGCACGCCUGACUGCACUGGAGCGGAGCAGGAAACCUCGAGGCCGCGGGUGUGGUCCGCACAUCACGCUGCUGCCUGUGCCUGGGGCAGACUCCAUCCUGGAAAGAGUCCCACAGCCUGAGUUUUGCUCUUGCGUCAACAGCAUCUCCACCCUGGAGCCUGUGAGCCGGUGCCAGCGCCUGAGCGAGCUGUACCUGCGGAGGAACCACAUCCCCAGCCUGGCUGAGCUCUUCUACCUGAAGGGGCUGCCGCGUCUGCGGGUGCUGUGGCUGGCCGAGAACCCGUGCUGCGGCACCAGCCCCCACCGCUACCGCAUGACCGUGCUGCGCACCCUGCCGCGCCUACAGAAGCUGGACAACCAGGCUGUGACGGAAGAGGAGCUGUCCCGUGCACUGAGUGAGGGAGAGGAGAUCACCGCCGCCCCGGAGAGAGAGGGCACAGGCCAUGAUGGCCCCAAGCCAUGCUUCACACUGAGCUCCCUCAGCUCCGCUGCCGAGACUGGCCGGGACCCGCUGGACAGUGAGGAGGAGGCAACGUGAGACUGGAGGGCAGCGGGGACUCCGCAGCCCAUCCCUGUCCCCCAGGGUCCUCCCACGGGGAGUGCAUGGGGCUUCCCGUGAGCUGCGUCUCUGGGAAGUGAGGGAGAGGGAUUAUCCGGGGGGAGUGUCUGUUCUCAUCCAUAUUCUCUGGAAGUGACUCAGUGCCCAGGUAGUGAUUUCAGUGGCAGGUCCAUGUUUUGCCCGACAGUGGAUGUGCCAGGGAGCAGGAGAGGGUGAGCCAGGCCCCGUGCCCUGGCACUGAGAAGGCUCACAGCCCCGGAGCUUGUGAGGUGCAGGGAGCCCCUGGUGGGGGGUGUAGCCUAGGGCCACAGUGACUGAAAUGGUUUGUGGGCACGGCCAUCAGUGCCCGUACGGCCUUGGGCCUGGGGGCCGUGGAGGGGCCACAGGGCUGACUCCACAGUGAGACGCCGGCGCCUCCCAGGGCAGUUGGCUGCGGGUCACGAAUGCAUUUGACAGAAGCUGGGCACUUCUCUCCUGCUUGGCAGAUCACACCCGCUGCUGGUGCCUGUGGUGGGGGCACCACACACAGGAUGUGAUCUCUGUUAGACAUCUGCCGUCCGGCACAGGGCUUGACCCCAUGGUCAGGAGCUCUCCCCCGGCAUUUGUGUGUUCAGGUGCCCCCCCACCCUGCCCCCGAGGCCCUGGGUGGAAGGUGUUACAGCUGGGGAGCCCCAGGGUGCCGGGAGGGCGCCCCACAGGUAAAGUAAGUGCCGGGCUCUCAGGGAGCUGCCAUCUGUAGCCCCUGACCUCACAGGAGUUGCCUCCCUUCUCUUGCCCCUGUGUGGCAGGUGGGAUUUGUAUGAGCCCCUCCUUUGCUUGAAUGUGACCUGCAGACAGGGUUUGCAGAGGCCCCCGGUGCCACGAGCCCCCUGACCCUCACACGCCUUUGUCUCCCUCUCACCAGCAGCGCCCAGGGUGAACUUGGCCUGAAGCCCGCUUCCCAGGACCAGUUUCCUUCCUUCUCACCCAGGGAUGCCUCGAGCAGCCACAGGAGCAGGGUGAGUGUUGGGCUGCUAGGUGGCCACUGCUGCCUCUGCCCACUGCACACAAGUCGUGGGGAGGGAGGAUGGAGCCUCACAGGGCCUCGAAGAGCUGCGGCCCAGGGGGAGCUGUGUGUGUGGGUCUGUGAAUGCACACACACGUGUAACACGUGCCCCGCACGGAGCCGUCCUGGCCCCUCAGCUUCUCCUGGUCUCCUGGUCUGUGGAAUGUGGGCCCAGGCCCUGCUGGGCUGAGGGCAACAGGACUCACGUGGAAGAAGCGCCACACACGUGUUCACAGGCGGGGUUCCUCCUCUGCUCAGAUUCUCCGUGUGUGCCCAACGUCCUGACUGCCAUCCUGCUGCUGCUGCGGGAGCUGGACGCAGAGGGGCUGGAGGCCGUGCAGCAGACUGUGGGCAGCCGGCUGCAGGCCCUGCGUGGGGAGGAGGUGCAGGAGCACGCCGAGUGACCGCAGGACCUGAGCGCCGCUCCACCCUCCACGGGGACCCCAGCGUCUUCCCCAGCCCCCGGGAGCUGGAGGGUGGCUGCCACGGCCGCAGCCCCGGACCCACACAAAAGCCUCCCCGGUUUGCCACAUCGGCCGAGGGCAGGAGUGGGUGUUAGGUACUGGCUAACCGGGGUGGUGGAGAUGCCUGUCCACACCAGUCCUGUCCCCAGGACUCCCCUUCUGUGGUCUGGAGGUUCUGGGCUGGCCUGGGCUCCUAAAGGGAGGAUUUUGCAGGCUGUCCUCCCUAAUAAAAGAUUUUCCCAAGGUU